rnacentral:lncRNA from 1 species
AUGAUUCAGGGAGAGAGAUCUGAAUUUAUCCCAGAAAUAAGACCAUUUGGAUUGACCUGGAACCCCACUAAAUGCCCAGUACAGGCUGUACACUUCCCCCAAUCUUGCUUUAACUGUUAUUCAGUGUUGACUCUGUACUACUCCUCCUUUCUACUGUUUCAGUCAUUUCUUCUUCACUCAGGUGGCAGUUUUGAGUGGGAUGAUGAUUUCCCCUUGAUGGCCCAGAACCCGUCUUACGUCUCCAUGGUGUCUGAUCCCAAUGCAACCAAGCCCCACCCAGCCCUGUCUUCACCAGGACCCAUGGCACCUACCUUGCUGCCGGCAGCCAAGAGAGCUGAGUCUGGUCUUGUGGAUGCCUUGAGGUUUUCACGCUUUACUGUCUCCCCUGCCUUGGAACCCCACCUUUCUCCAUCUUGCGAUACUGAACUUGGACCCACGGCCAACCCAAUUGAGAACUAAGACUAAGGAGAAAUCGGACAACCCAGCUGCCUCUUGUCUCCACGUUCAGAGACGAUGCCUAGUCAUCCAGUUGACUUGCUGAUUCCGAGCCACCAUUUGCCAAUUCCUAUGGCAGAUGGAUAGACAGAUGCGUGUGCGUGCGUGCGUGCGUUUGCGUGCAUGAGACGGGGCCAUUGUUGCUAACGGGAGCCUAACCUAAAUGGACUUUUGCCAUCUCUCUCAAUGUGCCCCUAUUUGGGGUGGGUGAGGCGGAACUUUUGUAUGAACAAUCAUGGGACAUCAGAUGAUGAUGGAGACAUCUCCUCGGUCUGUAAGGCCCCACCCACCCAACACUGGCUUUUGAAUGUAUAACUCCUAUCCUUUCUUGGCCCUCUGUUCCGCUCUCUGAUACGUCCGUUAUAAGGACCCUCUGUGCCAAAUGGAGUGAGUGAGAACCGGGUCUCCAGGACAUUGCCUCUGGCUGUACAUGAGUCCUCUGCAUCCCCCUGAAUCUCAUCAGCUAUACGUAAUUCUGGAAUAUGGAACAUGGCUGCCAGUCUGUUCCUCCUUUGUGCCAAAAGUGAAUGGGCCUAGUGGCAGGAUUACAUAGAAAAGACCAUUGAUUUAAGCCUUCGAUGGAGCAACACUAACAAGAUGGAAUAAUCAAAUCCGAAUCCCUACUUUGGAACUACCAAGGGAUGACUGGACUCAGUAAAACAGGUAGUGAGAUUUGGUUGGAUGGGGGAUGGGGACCUUUUUCCUGUCCCCCAAGAGGCUGAGUCAUCCCUCUCAUUUUUCAAAAGUGAUAUGCCUCUGUCUGCAUCUGUCGAUUGAUACCUGAAGUGCUAGGGAAAUAUGCUGAAUCGGUUACACCACCCAUCUGUAAGUGUAAAAGACACUGUGGCUAGUUGGGAACGGCACCUUUGAUAUUAUCCUGAUUGGUUGGUGCAUCAUAUUUGGAAGUUUGUCCAUGGUUCAUAUGUAGCAUUGAUGGAGGUGACUGGCCUUUCUUGGGACUGGCCUGUCAGGACCUUCCCAAUUCCCAACUGGUUUAUGCUCAGAAUUUUCAGAAAGUUACUGAGUCCUAGGAAAGUACUGUUAAAGUGGCAGAGAUUGGUGUAGCCAUUGAUCAGUUGUACUGAAAACAGCACAUGAAGAGAAGUGGUUUGAUUAAUAAAUGCAGGGGGCUUCAGAAAUUGAGGGAACCU